UGGAAUAAAAUUUUCGCGGCACUCACUGCCGCCAGUCGUCUGCAUGUGGACCUGGGAUGGCUUUGGCAUAAAAGUUAGGCUAUGAAUCCCAGCAGAUACUGCAGCAAUGACUCGCCAUGUAGCACUACGACCAGAUACACUCCGUCACCACUGGCCAGGACGUUUCCAUUCCCUAACUGAAUACCGAGCCCCCAGCAUUUCGGGAUAUGUCCCGAGGGGGCGUGUUGAAGGACGGUCCUAUCCCAACGUAGAUAGGUGGUAGUUAGGCGAUGAAUCCGCUGUGAUGGGCGAUGCCUCGGCCGUGCCUCGACCUUGCCUAGGCCGUGCCUCGACCUUGCCUCGGGUCUCUCGGCCGUGAAUCUCGGACGUGUCCUCAGGUCCAGGGGUGGUGGACAUCUGUACGAUACUUCCAUUGGUACUGGUAUAUAAGACACGAGUUGUGCAAGUCUUAGUAUCUCAUCUUUGUAUGGAUCAGUAUUGGAGAAUUGGCGACGGUGACGGCUAACGCUGAUUGUUGAUGUUGUUACAGGGUGGUUAAGCUUCACCAGUGGCCUCCUUCCCGAGGCAAUUCCCUGCUCUCCCCUGCUAGAGGGGCACCCUAAGCCAUUCACCCCAUCCGACUUCAGAGUGUACUCUUUGAGUUUGGCAACUCACCACCAGCAUCCAACCAAAUCUAGCGGAUCAACGGCGCGUCAACUUAGUUCCUGGUCAGCUCGCGAGUAGAUUUUAUCACGUCCUACACCGUCCACAAGAUGGGGGGCCACCUCCCAUUUCAUCACCUCUCAAACACCCCGAGAGGUCGGCAGGCGGAUUUGAACCCGGACGCGCCGGGACGCGACGGGAGCAGAAGCCAGGCCUUAACUUCUGCCAGCCGCCUGCCUGAUUGUUAUCUCGGAAGAAUUGCCGGCGGCGAAGAUAUUUAGCACGAUAAACUGUGAUCGAUCGUUGUGAGAUAAACAAUUAAGCGCAGUCACCGCCCUAAAUACCGGCGCUAGCGGAAAAC
rnacentral:lncRNA from 1 species